rnacentral:lncRNA from 1 species
GGUGAUCAAUAUUGGUCAGUAGAUCUCCUACUGGUACGACAUAUGGACUAAUGGUCAUAUCCUUUAUGGCAUCAAUUCCCCUACUUUGCUCUUGAUGGCCCUCGAUCAGACCUUAAGACUCGUUUGGUGGACGAAAAGUGGAGGGAGAAAGAGGCAGUUCCUGAAAAGUAAAGAGAGGGGUCUUUUGUUUAAUUGGAGUUUUAAAAAAAGAGAGUAAAAAAAGGUCUUUCCAUG